AAAGGAUGAGGGAGAGAGGUUAUCACCCCCUCAAGUUGAAUAUGUUGGAGGCGAUGAGCUGUCAAACAAGUUCAACUUGGAGACUAAGAGUUGAAUACGCGGAGCAGGCAGAGCUUGGGUCAGAAGAUCUACUGGAAGCCCAAUCAACAUCACAAUAGACUUUGAUCUGCAAUUGGUUAGUAGCAGGAUGGAAAAUGCCUCUUCUUGUCGUGCCUUUAAGGUGUUGAAGAUCAGAUGAACAGAUGAGGUGAAGAAGAAGAAGUUGAGAGGAAUAAGAAGAAUGAAUAGUAAAUCAUUUAUUCAAAAAAUGUGUCAUACAAUGGCUACAACCCUUACUUAUAAGACAUGUAGUGACAAACUGUUGAAUCUUGUACUUACCGAAGUAUAGAACAAGAAGCCUUUGUGAGAAUAAAUCUCGUUUUUUAUUAAUUCAGUCGAUAUCCCUCUACUGAGCUACAAGCGACUAUUUAAAGUAAACAAAUCCUACCUCUAAUAAGAAUAGAAUACUUCUCCCAAUAGUAAUAGAAAUCCCCCCAAAUACUGCCAUCAUGCGUGGCAACAAUAAUAGUAACUAAUUACUGCUAGUUAAAACUACUACUAAUAUUACUACCAAUUCUAAAAGGUUUCAGUCUCCUUGAGGUUCUAUCGUGCAACUCAAGUCCGCCUCUCUACUCACCUGAUUGGAUACAGGGCCUUGAAUAUCUUGACUUAGUUGAGCCCGGUUUAGCUUAAUCUUAUGACGACGAGCACGAUUGUAAGCGUUCUUGAGUUGACGUGCUUGAUCU